UUAUGUGGAAAAUAAAAUUAAGCAUUCUCUGUGUUGAACCUUAUUUAGAAUGAAGACAAAUGAGUACACUUUACCAGAGGACGGAUUUUGGAUCGAUGUACCAAAAGGUUUUCUGCUGGGAGUUGAUCUUCUCAUCAUUGGAAUUGUCCUUUUUGGGCCAGAAUGAUCACUUUUCAGGAGGACCAGCCUCAGAGAGUGAGAGGCUAGUAUCCUGAUUAUGGCUUACCUGUUGUAGAGCUGAGCCAUGGUUUCCAGGUAAGUUAU
rnacentral:lncRNA from 1 species